GAGCUGCUGCCUGAGUAACUGGUAGUCGCCAUGUUUGAUCUAAGGAGGAACCUUCUCCUGGCGGACAUGGGUUAUCACUGGGUUCAGUGCUUGGAUGACUCUGCUGUGUCUGGUGACCAUUUUGGGCAGAGGAUGAGACACAGACAGGAAGAGAAGAAGAAAAACAGAAAAAGAGACACCUGUAGCAUUGCUCCACCACUCAUGAGGCUCCCCUGCUCCAGUGGGGACUAGGGGCUCAAACCUGGUUUCCUGUACAUGGUUGUAUGUAUGCUCUACAUGGUCCUCAUGGAGUUGGACUUCAGAGCCCCCCUGGUCAUCAUCUCCCCUAUCAUUCCUACCCCACUGGGAGUAUGGAUCAAAAUUAUUUUUGGGGUGUAGAAGACUGGACCUCAAAGAAGAUGAAUUAUUGGAUAGUAAUUUGGAGACAGAAAAGGGAAAAUCGCUUCACUUCUCUGAAUUCCUAGACUAUCUGCAUCAUGGAGCCUACUUCAGAGUGCCACUGAGAGGACUGCAGGCUUGAUGAGCAGUGCCUGGCAUAACAUUCGACCAGCGAGAGGUGCUCUCGAAAGGUGUUAGUUGUGAGCUUCCUGUCUCUCUCUCUCUCUCGCUGCUAUUCGGACUUCAGAUCUCCCAUUGGAAUUUCUUUCAGUUUAGAAGGCUGUGAACUGGGCUUUAUACGAAGUAGCCUGAAGCCAGCUAUAGGGAAAGAGAGAGAGAGAAGGAGAAAGAAGAGAAGGAGAGAGGGUAGGUGGGAGGGGGAGAGAGAGAGAGAGAGAGAGAGAGGGUGUUUUUGUCCUGGGCACAUAACUCACACUCAACCUUUAACUUCAAAGAUCUAAUGAGAAGUUGGAGGUUGGGGUUGGGCAGUAGUGCCCUGGGUUAAGUGCACAUAGUUCAAAGCGCAAGGACAUAUGCAAGGAUCCCAGUUUGAGCACCUGGCUCCCCACAUGCAGGGGGGUCACUUCACAAGCGGUGAAGCAGGUCUGCAGGUGUCUGUCUUUCUCUCCCUCUCUCUAUCUUCCCCUCCUCUUUCAAUUUCUCUGUCCUAUUCAACAACAACAGUAAUAACAGCAACAACACCAACAACAAUGGGGAAAAAUGGCCUCCAAUGGAUUCAUAGUGCAGGCACCGAGCCCCAGUGUGCCCCAGUAUUUAUUUAUUUGCCCACUGGAGGCAAUUAAAUAAAUAAAUAAAUAAAUGUUGGAGGUAGGGGUCUGGGCUGUGGAGCACCCUGUUAAGCGUACACAGUACUAAGUGCAAGAAUCUGGUGUGUGUGUGUGGGGGGGUCACUUCACAAGCAGUGAAGCAGGUCUGCAGGUGUCUCUCUGUCCUCUCUCAAUUUCUUUCUGUCCUAUCCAAUAAAAUAGAAAGAAGAAGAGAAAAAAAAAAAAAAGCCACCAGGAGCAGUGGAUCAUAGGGCCAGCCCUCAGCCCCAGCGAUAACUAUGGGGCAAAGAGAAAGGGGUAAGGGGAGAGAUACAACCCUCGGUCUCUACUUUGCUAAGAGGUACUUUGUAGUUCUCAAUUUUCCAAGGGGCCUUACACACCUGA